rnacentral:tRNA from 1 species
GGAGGGGCCAUGGCUUAAUGGUAGAGCAUCUGCUUGGCAUGCAGAAAGUUCCAGGUUCAAUCCCUGGCAUCUCCA